ACAACAUAUAUAUAUAUAUAUUCCUACUAAUUAAUACAACACAGAUAUAUAUAUAUGUUGCAAGCAAAAAUGGGUAAAUUUUAAUAAAAUCGACUAUCAUAAAGAAUUAAUUUCCAGUGAAUUUAACGUGAGCAAAGCCAGGACAACAAUUUAGCUAAUUUGUAUGACUGAAGUCCGUAAGUAAUUUAAAUUACAAUAGAAAUUUACGGUUUAUUAUAGUUGCAAUAUAUAAUACGACUGAAAUCUAACAUUUGGAGUUAUCAAAGAGCUCUUUGAAACGGAAAAGCAAAUUUAAUAAAAUGAAGUUUUUCUACAUGUUAUUGGUUGGCAUUUUUGUGUUCGCGCAGCUGAUACACAAUGUAAAGGCGAGUGACGUCGCCUGUAUCACGACUAGCGACUGCAUAGCAUAUUGUGAUGCAAGAUGCAAACCUUGCCUUGCUACGUGCGUCAACAAUAGAUGCAUUUGCACUGUAACAAUCGGUAAGAAAACCAAUUAACUCCAAUCGAAUUAAAUGAUAAUGUAACUUAAAAUUCAAAUCAUUAUUUUAAUGUCUAACUGAAAAAUUUAAAUAAAUAUUCCAUCGCA